AUCCGGCUGACGAGUCCCAAACAGGACGAAACGCGUGUCCUGGAU
rnacentral:hammerhead_ribozyme from 1 species